CAGCAGCCGCGGUAAUACGGAGGGUGCAAGCGUUAAUCGGAAUUACUGGGCGUAAAGCGCACGCAGGCGGUCUGACAAGUCAGAUGUGAAAUCCCCGGGCUUAACCUGGGAACUGCAUUUGAAACUGUCAGGCUGGAGUCUUGUAGAGGGGGGUGGAAUUCCAGGUGUAGCGGUGAAAUGCGUAGAGAUCUGGAGGAAUACCGGUGGCGAAGGCGGCCCCCUGGACAAAGACUGACGCUCAGGUGCGAAAGCGUGGGGAGCAAACAGGAUUAGAGACCCCGGUAGUCCCUGUCUCUUAUAC
rnacentral:rRNA from 1 species